rnacentral:rRNA from 1 species
UACGUAGGGGGCUAGCGUUGUCCGGAAUCAUUGGGCGUAAAGCGCGCGUAGGCGGCCCGGUAAGUCCGCUGUGAAAGUCAAAGGCUCAACCUUUGAAAGCCGGUGGAUACUGCCGGGCUAGAGUCCGGAAGAGGCGAGUGGAAUUCCGUGGUGUAGCGGUGGAAUGCGCAGAUAUCAGGAGGAACACCAAUAGCGAAGGCAGCUCGCUGGGACGGUACUGACGCUAAGGCGCGAAAGCGUGGGAGCGAA